rnacentral:rRNA from 1 species
AACGAACGCUGGCGGCAUGCCUAACACAUGCAAGUCGAACGAGACCUUCGGGUCUAGUGGCGCACGGGUGCGUAACGCGUGGGAACUUGCCCUUAGGUUCGGAAUAAUUCCCCGAAGGGGGUGCUAAUACCGGUUAAUGUCAUCGGACCAAUGAGUUAUGGCUUCUGGAUGGGCCUGCGUUGGAUUAGGCGGUUGGGAGGGUAAAAGCCUCCUAAGGCGACGAUCCAUCGCUGGUCGGAGAGGAUGAUCAGCCACACUGGGACUGGGACAAGGCCCAGACUGCUGCGAGAGGUAGCAGAGGUUAAUAUAUGGCAGGGGGCGAGAGCCAGAAACAGCAAGGCCGCGUGAGUGAUGAUGGCGUUAGAGUUGUAAUGCGCUUUUACCCGGGAUGAUAAGGACAGAACCGGGAGAAUAAGCCCCGGCUAACACCGU